GCUGGCCUCGAAUUCAGAAAUCCACCUGCCUCUGCCUCCCAAGUGCUGAGAUUAAAGGCAUGCACCAUCUUACAUCAUUAACUUCUUAUGCCAGUCCUCAUCUGGAGGUCUAAUCAGCGCAGUAUAGUUCAGAGUUACAGAUCCUAGAUUCUAGGAAGGCUAGUGAAUGUGUCUCCCUGUGUUGACAGGCUCUGCUUUUAAUGAGGAGUAAAAUCAAAAGACAUUUGUCCAAAGAUGUGAUUUGUCCAAAGAUCAUUUCUCCUCUAAAACUCAUGAAUCAUGAUUUCUGAAGCAUCGUUAACCAAAAUGUAAACUGGAGAAAGACAAAACAGGGCCCAUCAUACUCACUUUUGACAUUAGACAACACAGUAAACAGCACUACUCAAAUCUUUGAGAGAGUGGAUUUGGCUUAUUUAUUUGCAAUGGAUUUGGUAUAAUUUUAUAUGAACUGUCUGCAGACUUUGACAGCACAACUUGCUUGCUAAAGAUGUUAUUAAGAGUCCCUCCUACACAAACCUGCCCGACUGUCCUCCCCUUCUGAGGCUGCAUGGCCAUCAGUGUUUUUCUGAAUAAAACGACAUUUUUUAAUCCUUACUUAAAAUCUUAACAAGAAAGAUGACUGAGAAAAUAGAUUUGGCUUUCAAGUAAGUACCCUGGGUUUUCUGUGCAAACAAAGCAUUUCAUUGUAAAUGCUAAUUAUGAUUAGAGACGAGUUAGGUUAAUCACUUGGGUUUUCUUUAAAAUGAAGAAGAUGGCAAAUGUGAUUGUCUGUAAUUGCAUGGGUGACUGUACCCACUGGUGAUUCCCAAGGAGAAAAGAUAAAGUUUAAAGUGAUAGAACUUCUGAAUUCUACCUGGAGCUCACCAUCAGUUGAACCGAGGAAUGAGGUAGAAGAGUCACAACUUCACAUAGAAUCCUUGCUAGUAAGUGUUUGAGGCAUAGGUUGUGGAAGGGCAGAAGGAGACAGGAUUCUUUCGAAAUCAUUUUGGCACAUAUCAUUGGAUGCACAAGGCCCAUUAUGCUACAUAAUGUACAAUUUCAUGAACAUUCUAAUUUUAGAGAAAUUGAUUACACAUCAGCAUAAUAAGAAAAGGGAGGUAAAGGAGAAAUGAAAAAUAUAAUUGUAAAUAAGUACAAAAGGAUUUAGGUGAUAAAUACCUGAAGGUUAAGGCAAGAUGACCAUGUGUUUGGGGCCAGUCCUGGCUAUACAAGGUGACACUGUCUUUUAUUAAAAAGCUUAUUCAGCAAUCAAGUGGAAAAAGCUGUAGCUAUACUAUGUUUAUAGUGCACCAAGCAGCAGCACAGUAAACUUUUUAACACUCAAACACAAUAAGUAAACGAGCCAAUAUGUAUUUGCAACCUUCUUAAAGCACAGAGUCGCUGCUAAAAUGUCUCAUUAUGAUAAUCCCUACAGAGUGGUGAAUCAAAAAUGAAAAAGACUACAGGGGAAACCAAAAUCUUAGUUGACAGUUAAAGAAGAAAAUUAAGAUUUAGGUUGUUUAUAAGGCUUUUAAAAUAAUAAUGGAUGAUCUAGUCUUAUGAUAAAAGAGUCCUAAACAGAAUGCCUCACUAUAGUAAUGACCUCACCGAAGCCUCCAAACGCUUUGAAAUGCUACAAUAUAUUUUGCAAUUUGUAGGCUGAGGAUGGGGGAUACAUUUCAGACACUACUCAAAUCUGUAUAGGGCAGUGGUAUUUACACAAGGACAAUACAUUUCUAGUGGAGUUGACUUUCCCUAUUAGUAUUGAUGGAGUGGCUGAUCUAUUUUAUAUCCUAUCCUAUCAAUGGGGAGGGAGCAGAAGUGGCAUCCGUUUAUCCCUUGUUACAAAUGAGAUGGACAACUUUUUCUUUACUAUAGGUAGAUUACUCAGGAGAGAAAGACAAAGAAACAAAUCCAAGGAAAGCCCAUUAGAAGACACAGUCUUACUCUCUGCUCUGUAAUGCUGAGAUUAAUGAAGAAUCUAGAGAAACGAAAGAUUUCCCUAACAGAUUUAUGCAGCAGCAUUGCUUUAAAGACAGAACUACUUAGCGCCUCUUCCUUUUCUCAGCCAGUGUGUUCUCCCAGUUCUUUUUUAGCAUGAUAAUUUAUUUGUAAUUAUGCAAAUUAAUAACUAAACAAACAUCCAGAGAAUAGACAAGCUUGACUCAACCCAAUCAUUUUCAACGACCCACAAGGAAGAGUUUAUUUUGAGAGCUACAGGACUGAGAAGUACACCAGAAUCAGCUAAUAAUAGCCUCCGAUUUCAAUUGCUUACAACAUCUACUUUUAUAAAAGUAACCAUGGGAAAAAGGCGUAUUUUGCAGUUUCCAAUAAGUUCUGCAAGUACAAUGAUUCUGCCACGUGAAUGUUUUCUUUUGCUGUUAUGUUCUCCUUAUUUCCUACAGCACACCCAAAUGCAAGAACCAAAAUUUGUAUAGCUUGCUAUUCCAUUUAAACGAAACAAUGAAAACACAGCAGAUUUAGCUAGUAUAUUAGGAACAUCAUCCAUAUACAUGCGAUCUAUGUUUACUAUAGUUACACAAAAUGAUAGCUCAUAUUUCUAAGCUAGUCCUAGUUUUCUGGUAGAAGAAACAGUAUAAUACUACUUUAACUUUUCCUAAAUGUCCGUUGUCUCUCAUAACAGCCAUAAAAUUUCAUCACGUGUUUUAUAUGAUUAUUGACACCAAACACUUUUGAAAGCACCCACUGAAGUGUGGAGAGGCCAUUGGGUUAAGAUCUUUUUUCUUUAGGAAGAGGACUUAAGUGUUGUUUGACUGGUUUAGGCACUGUGAGGAUGUCUCUGUGGUACCUUGAUAAAGCAAUUCUGACUCAUUUAACUUGAAAAGAGUGAAAGAUAUAAAUGUAAGUGUGUUUGUCUUCUGUAAAUUAAACUGAAACUAUGUUCUCUAACCACAAAUAGGUCUAUAGAAACAGAAACCCACAAUACCAUUAAGAACCAAAGAUGCUGUAUCUGGGACACACCAAAAAUUAAGUAGAGGAAUUGUUGCAGAAUGGAUGUUCACACAGAUGGCGCUAUUUUACCAGGAAGAUGUAGUCCAUAAAAGACUCAGGCCAAUGUUCUGCACAGUGCAGGUGGAGCUGAGAUGCCCUGUAUAAUGAGAAUAGAAUGACCGAGAAAGCCAGGCAUGCAGCAGGAGCCUGUAUAGCCCCAGCAAUUGGAAGUGGAGCGAAAAAAUAAGAUACAAUUUCCUAAACACAUGAAACUCAAGAAAAAUGAAGACUGAAGUGUGGACACUAUGCCCCUCCUUAGAAGUGGGAACAAAACACCCAUGGAAGGAGUUACAGAAACAAAGUUUGGAGCUGAGAUGAAAGGAUGGACCAUGUAGAGACUGCCAUAUCCAUGGAUCCACCCCAUAAUCAGCAUCCAAACGUUGACACCAUUGCAUAUACUAGCAAGAUUUUAUCGAAAGGACCCAGAUGUAGCUGUCUCUUGUGAGACUAUGCCGGGGCCUAGCAAACACAGAAGUGGAUGCUCACAGUCAGCUAAUGGAUGGAUCACAGGGCUCCCAAUGGAGGAGCUAGAGAAAGUAC